GAUGAACGCUGACAGAAUGCUUAACACAUGCAAGUCGAUGGGGAAGUGGUGCUUGCACCAUGGUAACCAUGGCGGACGGGUGAGUAACGCGUAAGGAACUUACCUGCGGGACCGGGAUAACAGCAGGAAACUGCUGACAAGACCGGAUAAGGUCAUUAAGCUGCAUAGCUUAGUGAUGAAAGGAGACGCCUGCGGAGAGCCUUGCGUCCUCUUAGCUAGUUGGAGGGGUAACGGCCCACCAAGGCGAAGAUAGGUAGCCGGCCUGAGAGGGUGGACGGCCACAAGGGGACUGAGAUACGGCACUUACUCCUACGGGAGGCAGCAGUGGGGAAUAUUGGACAAUGGGGGCAACCCUGAUCCAGCCAUUCUGUGUGCACGAAGACGGUUUUCGGAUUGUAAAGUGCUUUCAGCAGGGAAGAAGGAAGUGACGGUACCUGCAGAAGAAGCGACGGCUAAAUACGUG
rnacentral:rRNA from 1 species